rnacentral:rRNA from 1 species
CUGCAAGUCGAACGCGUCUUGGGGGGCAACUCCUGAGAUGAGUGGCGAACGGGUGAGUAACACGUGAGUAAUCUACCCUCGAGUGAGGAAUAACCCCGCGAAAGCGGAGCUAAUACUGCAUAAUACUCUGGAGCGUAAGCUUUCAGAGUCAAGGCUUUCCGAGCAAUCGGACAGCGCUUGAGGAUGAGCUUGCGGCCUAUUAGCUUGUUGGUGAGGUAACGGCUCACCAAGGCAAAGAUGGGUAGCCGGCUUGAGAGGGUGUACGGCCUCACUGGGACUGAGACACGGCCCAGACUCCUACGGGAGGCAGCAGUGGGGAAUCUUGCGCAAUGGGCGAAAGCCUGACGCAGCGACGCCGCGUGGAGGAUGAAGGCCUUCGGGUUGUAAACUCCUGUCAGAGGAGAAGAAUCUCCGAGCAAUCGGA